AUGACUGACUCUUCUGGCACCGAGAAACCACUUUCUACUCAUUCAGGUACAUCCUCAUGGAUUCUUGAUACUGGAGCAUCUUUUCAUAUGACUUUUGAUUCUUCCACUUUGACCUCCGUUCGACCUGUCGAGUCUCCUGUUCACGUUCUUACAGCUGAUGGCACUCACCUCCCUGUAGCUAGUCGAGGCACUCUUAGGACUUCUUCAUUUCAUGUUCCCUCUGUCGCUCAUGUUCCUCGACUUACCAUGCAGCUCAUAUCUGGUGGUCAGAUUGUUGACUCUAGUUGUAGGGUCAUUCUCGACUAUGAUUCAUGUUCUGUUCAAGAUCGUCGCACGGGCGCUCUACUUGGUGCUGGCCCUCGACCCUCUGAUGGUCUCUGUGAGCUUGAGUGGCUUCGUCUUCCCUCUGCUGCCACCGCCACCAGUCUCACAGCCCAUGUUGCUGCAUCUACCAGCUCUUUUCAGCAAUGGCAUCAUCGUCUUGGCCUUUUAUGUGGUUCUCGUCUCUCAUCUUUAGUGUCUCUCAUCUUUAGUUCAUCGUGGUGUUCUGGGGUAUGUCUCCGGCAACGCUUCGUUGGAUUGUCUGGGUUGUAG
rnacentral:rRNA from 1 species